GACGAACGCUGGCGGCGUGCUUAACACAUGCAAGUCGAACGGAAAGGCCCUGCUCUUGUGGGGUGCUCGAGUGGCGAACGGGUGUGUAACACGUGAGUAAUCUGCCCUUGACUUUGGGAUCACUUCAGGAAACUGGGGCUAAUACCGGAUAGGAGCUCCCGCUGCAUGGUGGGGGUUGGAAAGUUUCGGCGGUGGGGGAGGGCCUCGCGGCUUAUCGGCUUGUUGGUGGGGUAGUGGUUUACCAAGUCUUUGACGGGUCGCCGGCCGGAGGGGGUGACCGGCCACAUGGGGACUGGGAUACGGCCCGGACCCCUACGGGAGGCAGAGGGGGGGAAUAUGGCACAAGGGUCGGAGGCCGAAGGCAGCAACGCGGCGUGCGGGAGGACGGCCUUCGGUUGGUAAACCGCUUUCGCCUGUGACGAAGCGUGAGUGACGGUAAUGGGUAAAGAAGCACCGGCUAACUACGUG
rnacentral:rRNA from 1 species